CAGUAGCCGCGGUAAUACAGAAGGUGCGAGCGUUAAUCGGAUUUACUGGGCGUAAAGCGUGCGUAGGCGGCUUCUUAAGUCGGAUGUGAAAUCCCUGAGCUUAACUUAGGAAUUGCAUUCGAUACUGGGAAGCUAGAGUAUGGGAGAGGAUGGUAGAAUUCCAGGUGUAGCGGUGAAAUGCGUAGAGAUCUGGAGGAAUACCGAUGGCGAAGGCAGCCAUCUGGCCUAAUACUGACGCUGAGGUACGAAAGCAUGGGGAGCAAACAGGAUUAGAGACCCGUGUAGUCCCUGUCUCUUAUAC
rnacentral:rRNA from 1 species